rnacentral:tRNA from 1 species
GUGGGUGUAGCUCAGUGGUAGAGCUUCUCCUUAGCAUGUGAGAAUAACUGGGUUCAGUCCCCAGCACCUCCA